GUGUGUGUUUGUCCUCGAUUAAAAUUGUAAACAUGUGCCUCUUUUAAAAAAAAUGCUGCUCAGUUAUGUUUCCGUUUUCUAUUCUUUCUUACUAUUCCAGAUCUGCACAAAGAGCACAUAAAUGAUAGCAGAUAUGAUGGACUAAAAGGGAUACAGGUAAGCUGAGGUCUGUCAUCUCUGACAUAAUCUUCACCAAAGUGUGGAACAACAGGAAGCUGUAGUAGCCAAGUGAAACUCUAAACGCCAGUCUGGGGGAUACUGAAAAAAAUCUGCAGGGAAACCAGCUAAAAGCAGCACGGAGUCAUUUGCAAUUACUAUGUCUUAGUGUAAGAUAGCUUCCCCAAAUUCCAAUUGUUCAAAUUGCUACAGAGCACUCUCUGGGGUUCAGGCACAGAUCCUGUGUAGCCCCAAAUGUUCAGAGUCACAGACCGAAAAGAAUGAGACGUCAAUCACAACUGACACAGAGAAUAUUUUCAUAAAGCGAAUGGCGGCAGCUGAGGCUCAGGCGUGCUGCUUCUCUCAACAGGAUGGAGAGCAGGAUGUGACGUCACAAUGAAAGAAACCUGGCCAUCGAGUGUUACUGUUUGCUAUGCCAGUCCUAAUUCAGGUUCCUUCUAAUAACCUGGUCGUCAUUGCGUACAUACGAGCCAGUCUGGCUCCCGUGUAUUCUAUACGAGGCUCACCCUGCAGAUUAAUUUCCUGGCUCCUUAUGCAGAAUACAUCAAUUGAAAGAUUGUUUACCGUAAGAGAGAAAAGGUCACUAUACUUAGUAUGCAUUUUACAUCUGGGUCUUUUGUACUCGGUAAGAGCAGGAACUGAGAGAAAAUGAGAUGCCUGAGUCAUACACAUUAUAAUCUUAUGAGGGUCAGGUUUACAUUUACAGACAGAGAGAG
rnacentral:lncRNA from 1 species